ACCCAACUGACGAGUCUCAAAUACGACGAAAUGCGCAUCCUGGUGGAU
rnacentral:hammerhead_ribozyme from 1 species